AACAGGGUGGCUGAAUAUUAGGUUAUAAAUUGUAAAUUUAUAUAUGGAUUAAAUAAUCCCCUUGUUA
rnacentral:tRNA from 1 species